UACGUAGGGGGCAAGCGUUGUCCGGAUUUACUGGGCGUAAAGAGCGUGUAGGCGGCCACGCAGGUCCGUUGUGAAAACUGGAGGCUCAACCUCCGGCUGUCGACGGAAACCGUGUGGCUAGAGUCCGGAAGAGGAGAGUGGAAUUCCUGGUGUAGCGGUGAAAUGCGCAGAUAUCAGGAAGAACACCAAUGGCGAAGGCAGCUCUCUGGGACGGUACUGACGCUGAGACGCGAAAGCGUGGGGAGCGAACAGG
rnacentral:rRNA from 1 species